GUGAGUGAUCUGUUACAAAGAGUCAUCUUAUCAUGGAAACACUGGAGGGAUUUAUUCCUUGCUGUCAGUGGCAGAGUCCAUAACUGCUGCUGCUCGAGCAAACAGCACCAUGGUUGAUAGAGACACUGAAGAGUCAGCCCUUCCUUUUAGAUCAAUGUCAUCCCUCCUGUAACGCUGUCAGACAAGGAAAUGAUUGCAGAAUAUUGCAGUCGUACAAAUAAAUGUGCGCUUCAGUGGAACAAGAGGCAUAGCUGAGAGUGGGGUUGGGGUCAGACAUUAAGGUUGCACUCACAUUAUCUGCAUUUUAGUCCCAGUUCUGCCACAGAGCUCCCCUUCCGUCUCUCGUUGUAUCUUGGAGGGUGUCUGAGUGUAACACAGUGCAGCUUGCUCUAUGGUUGGCAUAGUACUCUUAUUGGAAAUAGAGUGUAAACUUCUGCUUUCCAGGGCUGUGUCUACACGAGUUUCCACCUCUGCAGCACUGCCAUUAGUUUGAUGCUGCUAUGUGAAAAAAACCCUCCAAAAACACACAGCAAACCAGGUGGUUUCCAUUUCAAGUCCUUUACCCCUGCCUCUUCGAGCAGUCACGGGCUGUCUGAUCUGCAGCCUGUUCAGGAUGAUGAAAGUCUCUGCAUUCACCUCCAUAGGCUUCAGGUCAAACCCAAUGAAAUUAAUUACAGAAACAUUUUGCAGGAAACAAACAAUGACUGAGUUAAAUGUAAACUUAGUUGAAGGCUUUUUUAGUUAAAGUGUUGUUGUAAUUAUAGUGACUGUGAUGAUAAAAGGUCAGGGUUUCUCGUUUAAACAAAGAGAUUAGAUUAAAUUAAAGCAUGACACGCUGACUUUUGAAUAACUGCAUAUAAGCAAAUUUACAGCAAUAAACUUGCCAAGGGAAUGACUAACCUGUUGCUGAGAAUAAAGCUGUAAGCAAAAAGAUGUAAAUAGUAGGAACAGCCUCACUAAGGACCAGACUCCAGGCACUAACUGAGCUGCUGCUUUGCUCUAAGGCAGCGGCUUCAGAAGUCAGUAUCAUGGGCAGCAAUAUCAGUGAGUGUUGUUUUCCCUCCUGGCUCCCAGGGAUGCUCCAUUUCACCCCUUGCUGCUGCCUGCCUGUGCUCCAGCACUGACCUUGGUACAGCUUUUCCAUGGAUCACGCAGUGAAACCGAGCCCGCUUUUGAGCACGCACACUCAGAAACAAGGAAGCGUAUCUUACCAGGUCAUUUUUUAUUGCAGAUCAUCCCCCUGAUCUGCCACGGAGCGUGGGCUCUCAGGUGCUGGCACUGAUGCCCGGUCCAGGGUAGCAUGAGGGAUAACACGGCGGGCUAUCUGGCUGAAAAACUGUUCAGAAGAUAUUUUGGGGGAGCAAGUCAGCAGCGAUAGCAUCGUUCAUUGCAGCACCACACUUUCUUUGCUUCUCAGAGUUGCACCAAAUGAAUACAGUGUGCUCUACAAAUUGCAGAGCCCUUCCAGGAAAUCUGAGUUGAAC
ensembl:lncRNA